rnacentral:rRNA from 1 species
GACGAACGCUGGCGGCGUGCUUAACACAUGCAAGUCGAACGGAAAGGCCCUGCUUGCAGGGUACUCGAGUGGCGAACGGGUGAGUAACACGUGGGUGAUCUGCCCUGCACUUCGGGAUAAGCCUGGGGAACUGGGUCUAAUACCGGAUAGGAGCCAUUUUGAGUGUGAUGGUUGGAAAGUUUUUUCGGUGUAGGAUGAGCUCGCGGCCUAUCAGCUUGUUGGUGGGGUUAUGGCCUACCAAGGCGGCGACGGGUAGCCGGCCUGAGAGGGUGGACGGCCACAAUGGGACUGAGGAAAGGCCCAGAACCCUACGGGGGGCAGCAGUGGGGAAUAUUGCAAAAUGGGGGCGAGCCUGAUGCAGCGACGCCGCGGGGGGGAUGACGGCCUUCGGGUUGUAAACUCCUUUCGCUAGGGACGAAGCUUUUUGUGACGGUACCUAGAUAAGAAGCACCGGCUAACUACGUG